rnacentral:ncRNA from 1 species
GUAGUCGAUGGAUAACCGGUUGAUAUUCCGGUACCCGCUGUGAAGCGUCAAACAUCGAAUCCAGUGAUGCUAAGCCCGUGAAGCCGUUCCGGACCCUUCGGGGAAAGGAAAGUGGUGGAGCCGGUGACCCGAUCUGGUAGUAGGUGAGUGAUGGGGUGACGCAGGAAGGUAGUCCAGCCCGGGCGGUGGUUGUCCCGGGGUAAGGGUGUAGGCCGUGCGGUAGGUAAAUCCGUCGCACACAAGGCUGAGACCUGAUGCCGAGCCGAUUGUGGUGAAGUGGAUGAUCCUAUGCUGUCGAGAAAAGCCUACUAGCGAGUUUCAUGGCGGCCCGUACCCUAAACCGACUCAGGUGGUCAGGUAGAGAAUACCGAG